rfam:Oribacterium sinus F0268 genomic scaffold SCAFFOLD6, whole genome shotgun sequence.
UGGUUAAGCAAUAAGAGCAUAGGGUGAAUGCCUAGGCACUGAGAGCCGAAGAAAGACGUGAUAAGCUGCGAAAAGCUGCGGGGAUUGGCAAAUACGAUUUGAUCCGCAGAUAUCUGAAUGGGGAAACCCACUAGAGAAAAGCUCUAGUACUGUACAGCCAAUACAUAACUGUACAGAGGGAACCCGCUGAACUGAAACAUCUAAGUAGGCGGAGGAAGAGAAAACAACAGUGAUUCCGAAAGUAGUGGCGAGCGAAAUCGGAAGAGCCCAAACCAAGGUGCGUGCACCUUGGGGUUCGGACCGCAUUUAGUUCCGUAAGUGAGUGGAAGACGAUGGAAAGCGUUGCCAUAGAGGGUGAAAGCCCCUUACACGAAGCGUAAAGGAAUGAGCGGAAUCCAGAGUACUGUCAGACACGUGGAACCUGGCAGGAAUACGGGGGGACCACCCCCUAAGGCUAAAUACUACUCAGUGACCGAUAGCGAUUAGUACUGUGAAGGAAAGGUGAAAAGGACCCCGGGAGGGGAGUGAAAGAGAACCUGAAACCCUGUGUUUACAAACUGUGGAACAGCGCAAGCUGAACCGCGUACUUUUUGUAGAACGGUCCGGCGAGUUAUAGUUACUGGCAAGGUUAAGGACUUAAGGUCCGGAGCCGAAGCGAGAGCGAGUCUGAAUAGGGCGCAAAGUCAGUAGAUAUAGACCCGAAACCGGGUGACCUAUCCAUGUCCAGGAUGAAGCUAAAGUAAAAUUUGGUGGAGGUCCGAACGCACAUCCGUUGAAAAGGGUGGCGAUGAGGUGUGGAUAGCGGAGAAAUUCCAAUCGAACCCGGAGAUAGCUGGUUCUCCUCGAAAUAGCUUUAGGGCUAGCCUCAUGGAGAGUCUAACGCAGGUAGAGCACUGAAUUCUUGAGGGGGCGUCAAAGUCUACCAAUAGAUAUCAAACUCCGAAUGGCGUAUAGAUAUACAUGGGAGUCAGACUGCGGGAUAUAAAUUCCGUAGUCAAAAGGGAAACAGCCCAGAUCUACAGCUAAGGUCCCAAAGUACAUGUUAAGUGGUAAAGGAUGUGGGAUUUCAUAGACAACUAGGAUGUUGGCUUAGAAGCAGCCACACAUUCAAAGAGUGCGUAAUAGCUCACUAGUCGAGAGGUCCUGCGCCGAAAAUUAACGGGGCUAAAACAUGACACCGAAGCUUAGGGAUGUAGCAAUACAUCGGUAGAGGAGCAUUGAAAACACGUAGAAGCGGUACUGUAAAGAUCCGUGGAGAGUUUUGAAGAGAGAAUGCCGGAAUGAGUAGCGAGAUGGAGGUGAGAAUCCUCCAGGCCGAAUAUCUAAGGUUUCCAGGGUAAAGCUGAUCUGCCCUGGGUAAGUCGGGGCCUAAGGCGAGGCUGAGAAGCGUAGUCGAUGGACAACUGGUGUAGAUUCCAGUACCUUACUAAAUCAGAAAUGUGGGGACACAUGGAGAAAGAGAGAGCCGGGAAUGAGAAGACCGGUGCAAGGGAGGUAGGAGUGUAGUAGGAAAAACCGCUAUACAAUCUGAAGACCUGAUGCGGAUCGAAAAGAAGUAGAGAAGCUCUUGGACUCUGUGGCGAGAAAAGCCGCUAUUGUGUUUAGUAAGCCCGUACCGCAAACCGACACAGGUAGAUGAGGAGAGAAUCCUAAGGCCGGCGGGAGAAGCAUUGUUAAGGAACUCGGCAAAAUGACCCCGUAACUUCGGGAGAAGGGGUGCCCAGGCAACUGGGCCGCAGAGAAAAGGCUCAAGCAACUGUUUAGCAAAAACACAGGUCUAUGCGAAACCGUAAGGUAAAGUAUAUGGGCUGACGCCUGCCCGGUGCUGGAAGGUUAAGAGGAGAGGUUAGAGCAAUCGAAGCUUUGAAUUGAAGCCCCAGUAAACGGCGGCCGUAACUAUAACGGUCCUAAGGUAGCGAAAUUCCUUGUCGGGUAAGUUCCGACCCGCACGAAAGGCGUAAUGAUUUGAGCGCUGUCUCAACAAUGCACCCGGUGAAAUUGAAGUGCCAGUGAAGAUGCUGGUUACCCGCGCCAGGACGGAAAGACCCCAUGGAGCUUUACUCCAGCUUGAUACUGGGAUUCGGUAAUGUAUGCACAGGAUAGGUGGGAGACGAAGAAGAUAGAACUUCGGUUUUAUCAGAGUCGCUGUUGGGAUACCACCCUUAUGUUAUUGGAUUUCUAACCUUAGGCCGUAAGCCGGUCAAGGGACAAUGUCAGGUGGGGAGUUUGACUGGGGCGGUCGCCUCCGAAAGUGUAUCGGAGGCGCUCAAAGGUUCCCUCAGGAUGGUUGGAAACCAUCCAAAGAGUGCAAAGGCAUAAGGGAGCUUGACUGCGAGGGCGACGGUCCGAGCAGAGUAGAAAUACGGACUUAGUGAUCCGGUGGUAUGAAAGUGGGAUUGCCAUCGCUCAACGGAUAAAAGCUACCCUGGGGAUAACAGGCUGAUCUCCCCCAAGAGUUCACAUCGACGGGGAGGUUUGGCACCUCGAUGUCGGCUCAUCGCAUCCUGGGGCUGAAGUCGGUCCCAAGGGUUGGGCUGUUCGCCCAUUAAAGCGGUACGCGAGCUGGGUUCAGAACGUCGUGAGACAGUUCGGUCCCUAUCCGGCGCGGGCGUAGGAUAUUUGAGAGGAUCUGUCCUUAGUACGAGAGGACCGGGAUGGACUGACCUCUGCUGUACCUGUUGGGAAUCAAUCCCAUAGCAGGGUAGGCAAGUUGGGAAUGGAUAAACGCUGAAGGCAUCUAAGCGUGAAGCCAACCUCAAGAUGAGAUAUCCCAUCGCAAGAGUAAGACCCCUUGAAGAGAACGAGGUAGAUAGGACUGAGGUGUAAGUGUAGCAAUACAUUCAGCUGACAGUUACUAAUAGGUCGAGGGCUUAUCCAAU